GCCUGCAGCCACAGUACCUUGGGCAAAGAUCUUAUCAAAUCUCAUGAACUGAGCAAGGAUGGGCCUGUUUAUUACCUCAGUGGAAGACCUCCAAGGAGAACACAGAUGUUGCAAGAA
rnacentral:rRNA from 1 species